AAACAAUGAGAAUCAUGCUGGGAGACAAGAGUGGAGAUGUAAGCAGGUGUUGUAUAUCAUGACUCUCAUGGUUGGAGGAAGACUAUCUCUCUAACCAGCUAGGCCAGAGUAACCGCAUACUGGGGGAGUUAAAGCUGGGAGUUGGGCAGAGGAGACCCAGCUUGAGAACACAACCAGAAGGUCAGUGAGCUGGCAUCUUUCCUAGCAGAAGUGUAGGCUGUGAGAAGAAGAGAACUUGGCAAGAGGGAUCCGUGGGCUACAGAAGCUGCCAAAAUCACUCAGUGAGAAAGAACAAGACAUAGUGUGAUAACUCCCCCAGAGGGUCAUCUGCCAAGUGGAGCCGGGGCUAUGCAGAGCCUGAACAGAUCCAUGAGAAUUGACGUCAACUGGAACAGACUAUCAGGGGCAAGGCAGAGAGAAGGAACAGAGGAUGGGAGUCUGUAGACCAAGGUCGCAUUCCUGUUCUGCACCCAGGACCUAUGCAGCCUUACACAAGACACUUAUCCUGAGGCCUUGAUUUUAUUGUAAAACAGAAAUAAUAGUUAUAGUUCUGCUUAUUUGUUGGAGAAGCUGUAAGGGUUAUGUGAGGUCAUUUAUGUGAAAUGAACUAAAAUGUAAAGCCAUCUAUUUAGGUCCCCAGAUGGCCUAAACUACAACUUUGUGUGGAUUGGAAGAAAAUCCCGUCCUCUGGAUGAAGUCAACCCUGUGCCAUUUUGUACAGUUUGUUGAGCAGAUCAGGGGUUAAGUUUCAGUUUCUACUCACCCUUGGCUGGCCACUCUUGAGCAGAGCAGAGACAUCAGAACUGUUUCUGCAAGAAGAAUUACUCCACGCAAUAUCAUAAGGAAGCAUUCACUACCAAGAUGUUUGCAAAUAUCCUUAGUAGGCCAGAUCCCUUUGUCUUUGGUGGGUAAACUGAUGCUAUGCUCUGCACACCACUGAGAACUCUGGGAUCCUAAUGGAAGACCAUGUUUAAGCGUUGGAACAUCUUGAAUAACACAUCUCUCUCUGGAAAAAUGCCUCCCUCUACUGCUCCCACCUUGGACUUUAGUGUAUCUGGUGGGCAUGUGAGUGACAAAAACUCUUGAAAAAAAGCUAAUCUAAUGCCUUAUUUGUGCCCCACAGCAGAGUUGGAUACCUUACUAGUAAAACGUUAUUCAGCAUGCUUUCCCCUCUUUUCUUUCCAUGUCUCCCGUCUUAAGAAACUCUUCAUAGCUGAGGAGCCUCCAGCCCAAGGCUGACCUGGAUUCUUAUAUCCAGUCAACUGUAAUUAGGCAGUAGCAGCCACAGCUGCAGAAUGAAGGGAAGGGUCCUGUGUGUGCAGUGUAGCAAGGCCCCUGACUAUUACUUUGUGUGUGUGUGUGUGAG